GGAAACCGAGUCUUAAUUGGGCGUUAAGUUGCAGGGUAUAGACCCGAAACCCGGUGAUCUAGCCAUGGGCAGGUUGAAGGUUGGGUAACACUAACUGGAGGACCGAACCGACUAAUGUUGAAAAAUUAGCGGAUGACCUGUGGCUGGGGGUGAAAGGCCAAUCAAACCGGGAGAUAGCUGGUUCUCCCCGAAAGCUAUUUAGGUAGCGCCUCGUGAAUUCAUCUCCGGGGGUAGAGCACUGUUUCGGCUAGGGGGCCAUCCCGGCUUACCAACCCGAUGCAAACUGCGAAUACCGGAGAAUGUUAUCACGGGAGACACACGGCGGGUGCUAACGUCCGUCGUGAAGAGGGAAACAACCCAGACCGCCAGCUAAGGUCCCAAAGUCAUGGUUAAGUGGGAAACGAUGUGGGAAGGCCCAGACAGCCAGGAUGUUGGCUUAGAAGCAGCCAUCAUUUAAAGAAAGCGUAAUAGCUCACUGGUCGAGUCGGCCUGCGCGGAAGAUGUAACGGGGCUAAACCAU
rnacentral:rRNA from 2 species